GACGAACGCUGGCGGCGUGCCUAAUACAUGCAAGUCGGGCGCAGGAAAUCGACGGAACCCUUCGGGGGGAAGUCGACGGAAUGAGCGGCGGACGGGUGAGUAACACGUAAAGAACCUGCCCUCAGGUUUGGGAUAACCACGAGAAAUCGGGGCUAAUACCGGAUGGGUCAUCGGACCGCAUGGUCCGAGGAUGAAAGGCGCUUCGGCGUCGCCUGGGGAUGGCUUUGCGGUGCAUUAGCUAGUUGGUGGGGUAAUGGCCCACCAAGGCGACGAUGCAUAGCCGACCUGAGAGGGUGAUCGGCCACACUGGGACUGAGACACGGCCCAGACUCCUACGGGAGGCAGCAGUAGGGAAUCUUCCACAAUGGACGAAAGUCUGAUGGAGCAACGCCGCGUGAACGAUGAAGGCCUUCGGGUCGUAAAGUUCUGUUGUAAGGGAAGAACAAGUGCCGCAGGCAAUGGCGGCACCUUGACGGUACCUUGCGAGAAAGCCACGGCUAACUACGUGCCAGCCGCCGCAGUAA
rnacentral:rRNA from 1 species